AUGUUGAGUCCUGUUCAGGGUUCUCCGGUGGAAACGCCGAUGAGCUAAGACGGGAACAGGGUGAACCCGGCGGAAAUCCGGCAAUUCCCAGGCUGCCCCCGCAACUGUGAACGGUGAGCGUUCGUCCCAUUCUGCCACUUGGCCGCAAGGCUUGGGAAGGCGGGGCGGCGUGAUGACCCGUGAGCCAGGAGACCUGCCUUGAGCGUAACGUCCAC
rnacentral:ncRNA from 1 species